rnacentral:rRNA from 1 species
GACGAACGCUGGCGGCGUGCUUAACACAUGCAAGUCGAACGGAAAGGCCCUGCUUUUGUGGGGUGCUCGAGUGGCGAACGGGUGAGUAACACGUGAGUAACCUGCCCUUGACUUUGGGAUAACUUCAGGAAACUGGGGCUAAUACCGGAUAGGAGCUCCUGCUGCAUGGUGAGGGUUGGAAAGUUUCGGUGGUUGGGGAUGGACUCGCGGCUUAUCAGCUUGUUGGUGGGGUAGUGGCUUACCAAGGCUUUGACGGGUAGCCGGCCUGAGCGGGUGACCGGCCACAUUGGGACUGAGAUACGGCCCAGACUCCUACGGGAGGCAGCAGUGGGGAAUAUUGCACAAUGGGCGGAAGCCUGAUGCAGCAACGCCGCGUGCGGGAUGACGGCCUUCGGGUUGUAAACCGCUUUCGCCUGUGACGAAGCGUGAGUGACGGUAAUGGGUAAAGAAGCACCGGCUAACUACGUG